rnacentral:rRNA from 1 species
UACAGAGGUCCCAAGCGUUGUUCGGAUUCACUGGGCGUAAAGGGUGCGUAGGCGGUCGGGUAAGUCUGAUGUGAAAUCUCAGAGCUCAACUCUGAAACUGCAUUGGAUACUAUUCGGCUUGGGGUCUGGAGGGGGGACUGGAAUUCUCGGUGUAGCAGUGAAAUGCGUAGAUAUCGAGAGGAACACCAGUGGCGAAGGCGAGUCCCUGGACAGGUCCUGACGCUGAGGCACGAAAGCUAGGGGAGCAAACAGG